GACGAACGCUGGCGGCGUGCCUAAUACAUGCAAGUCGAACGCUUCCUACCGGUGCUUGCACCGGGAAAGAAGAGUGGCGGACGGGUGAGUAACACGUGGGUAACCUACCUACAAGCGGGGGAUAACAUUCGGAAACGGAUGCUAAUACCGCAUAGAUCUUUUUGUCUCCUGGCCGAACGAAGAAAGACGGUUUCGGCUGUCACUUGUAGAUGGAGCCGCGGCGCAUUAGUUAGUUGGUGAGGUAAUGGCUCACCAAGAUGAUGAUGCGUAGCCGACCUGAGAGGGUGAUCGGCCACACUGGGACUGAGACACGGCCCAGACUCCUACGGGAGGCAGCAGUAGGGAAUCUUCCGCAAUGGACGAAAGUCUGACGGAGCAACGCCGCGUGAGUGAAGAAGGUUUUCGGAUCGUAAAACUCUGUUGUUAGAGAAGAACAAGGAUGAGAGUAACUGCUCGUCCCUUGACGGUAUCUAACCAGAAAGCCAUGGCUAACUACGUGCCAGCAGCCGCCGUAA
rnacentral:rRNA from 1 species